AUAAGUAUAUACUAAAAGGGUUCAUUAAAAAAUCAUGAAAAGUGAUUGGGGAAACUGGUGACCUACCCGAAAUGUUGCGCAUAAUGUUGCAGGCGGGGAUUCCAGUACAGUGCCGCUACGGUAAGCCCACGACGUAAAAAAUCGGGGACAAGUCCGAAUACCAAUCAUUUUGUGUGUUUCCCG
rnacentral:ncRNA from 2 species